UAAGAGCGACAGCGAGAGGAAGGUUUGGGUAGGACGUAGUUCCUGGGAUUGCUUUUGUGUGGGAUGGUCAGAUUGCUCUGCAACUCGGUUCUACCCCUGUCUUUGCUUUGGAAAGGUUCUUGAAUGUUAGAUUCCCUUUUUCUUUUUGGAAGAUAUGGUUGCUUCCAAGCCCACCUUCCGCUUGUUAAUAGUAGACUAAUGGGAGAGAGCCGUAGAUGAAAGCCUCUUCCUUAGCGGCCUCCUUCUGCUUCCGCUUCUUAUUCAACAUCUGUAUGGUUGUUUUAAGGGAAAAGGCCGCUUCUAGGUACUAAUGGUUGGCUCGUCAUCUACCUUUCUUUCUUGUCCUGUCGACUUUCUUCUUUCUGGCUUGAAAGCUUUCUUUGCUAAAAUAGAGAAAAGAUUCAAAGGAAAUUGAUGAAAGCUAAAUGGAGAAAGAAAGGUGGGAUGGCUGGAUGGGUCGAUGAGAAAUUUUGAAGAGAUCGGGGAGUUAGACAAAGAAGGUCGAAAGAAAUCAAAAUUCAAAAAUCCUAAAAAAAAUUACAUAUAUA
rnacentral:lncRNA from 1 species